rnacentral:rRNA from 1 species
UAGCGGCGAGCGAAAAGGGAAGAGGGCAAACUGAAUCUCCGUUGGAAACGACGGCAGAGAUGUGGUUGAGCUUAAGCCUAAAGAUUUGAGAAGAAGUCUCCUGGAAAGGAGCGCCUUAGAGGGUGAUAGCCCCGUAUUUUAAAAAUCAAUGGCAUGCUCUAAUAGAGUAGGGCUCCCUAGAUAGGGAGUCUGAAUACGGCUGGAUUAACAGCUAACCCUAAAUAUAAAUCCAAGUCCGAUAGCGAACUCAGUACCGCGAGGGAAAGCUGAAAAGUACUCUUAAUAGAGGGUUAAAAGACUUGAAAUCUAGUAGUUAAAUAUGGUUACAGCUCACUCAUUAAUUUGACAAUGGGUUGUAACGUACGUUUUGAAAAACGGACCAAGGAGUUUGUUUAAGUUGCAAGGUUAAAUAAGAAGCCAUAGCGAAAGCGAGUCUGAAAGGGCGUUAGUCACUUGAGCAAAACCCGAAGCCAGACGAUCUACUUGCGAGCAGGAUGAAGUUUUCCGAAAGGAGAAUGGAGGUCCGAACCGGUGUUAUGUGCAUGUAUUCGGAUGAUUUGCGAGUAGGGGUGAAAAGCCUAUCUAGCCUGGCAAUGGCUGGUUCCUGUCGAAAUAUGCCUCAGUAUAGUCUUGCCUAGUUUGCCAACGGGGUAAAGUACGGAUAAGGUUCGCAGACCCGCAAGGGUACGGAACCUAUUCCAACUCAGAACUUGUUGGCUGCUUAAAGCAGGAAUGGGGGGCGGCGCGUAAGGUGCUGUUCCGAGACCCGAACAAGGGAGACUGGAGUUAAGGUCCCAAAACGUGCGCUAAGUGUAGCAAACUUGGUCUCGAACCUGAGACAGUAGGGAUGUAGGCUUAGAAGCAGCCAUCAUUCAAAGAAAGCGUAACAGCUCACCUAUCGAGGUUCAAGGCAAGGAAGAUGGACGGGGCUAAGCGCACUACCGACACUUCAGAGGUCCUCGAAAGAGGAUUCUAGUAGGCAGGCAUGCUUUCUGCGCAGAAGCUUUUCCGAGAGGAGGAGUGGAGCGGGAAGCAAUGAGAAUCUUGGUGUUAGUAAGAUCAAUUUACCCUGAGAACGGGUAACGUCGUAAGAGCAAGGUUUCCUUGGCACUAUCGUUUAACCAAGGGUUAGUCGGCGCCUAAGUCACACCUUAACUGGCAGUGGCGAAUGGAUAUCUGGUUAAUAUUCCAGAACUGAUUAAAUUCGUCUAGUGCACGAAAUUGCUUUCGGAUAUGUGGAGGCUCGAAAGAGCUAGUGAGUGAGAAAAAUAGGGAGCGUAAUGCUUAGAGCUAUUUGAAUUGCUUGUGAGUCUGCAGAUUCCAGGAGUCCAUGAAAAGUUUGUGUAUCCGAAGUUUCGCAAGAAACGAGGACUUGAGAACUUGUUCUCAAUGUAGAAUUUAGUUAGCCGUACCAAGAACCGACACUGGUGCUCUAGCUGAGAAGGCUAAGACGUGUAAGGAUAAUCUGGUUAAGGGAAUUCGGCAUAUUGGCCCCGUAGCUUCGGUAGAAGGGGUGUCUAUGAUUGUUUCUGAAAUAUUGAAGCAUUUGUAGAUCGCAGUAACAAGGACUGCCCGACUGUUUAUCAAAAACGUAGCUGAGUGCAAACCCGAAAGGACUAGUAUACUCAGUGAGACCUGCCCAGUCGCGGUGUUUCAAACCUCUUUUCAAAGGGGCUAAGACCCGUGAAACGGCGGGCCUAACUAUGAGGCUCUUAAGGUUGAACGGCAUACGAACUGCCUUACAUUAUUAAAAACUAAUAAUGCUCCAACCACAUAGUUAAAAGAUAAAACAGGAAGUCGAAUUGAACCAAACCCAGAAGUUAAGAAACUUCUGGUCGAUUAAGAUUGCAAAUUUACAGCAAUCUUAACGUGGAGAAAAUCGAGCUAUUUGCUGGAACAUCUCGAAGAAACUUUGUAGGAUAUUAUUUUCGCGAGAGAAUAACGAACCCUAAAAAUCAAAGUGGAGAGAAUAUCAGCAGGAAAGACGAGAAUUAGUUUGAAGUUAUAGAUAGUUAUUUAAAGUGAAAAGUAAUUAUCACAACAUGAAUUUCAAACUUACAAAAUUGAAAAUUAUUUUGUCAAUAGUUUUAGGAUUAAUAAUAGGAUUUUUAUUUAACAUGGUGUUAAAGCCUGGAAAUGAACCAACUUAUUUACCCUCUAGCACUAUUCCGUUAUAUUUUCCGACAUAUUUUUGGGUAGUCAACGUUUUGACAAUUAUAGUUUUUUAUGUUGUUUGGAGUUUAAUCCAAAAGAAAAAAUAAUUCUCGAAUCCUCAGAGAUCAUACGCUCGACACAUUAAAUUGUGAAGAUAUGAUCCGAACUUGAUAGCGAUAUCAAGAAGUUAAUAGAAAUAUUAACUCGCUGUUAUAGAAAAAUAUAUUAAUGAUAAUAUCUUAAAAAUAACCUCUCAUAGAGAGUGGUGGACUGUGAGCGUACUGAUUAUUAGUGCGACCAGCCUUACUGGCUUUAUUGUCAGUAUUUUUAUUUAAUUCUUAACAGUUGUAACAUAAUUGAGCGUAAUGCCUUGUCGCCUGAAUGACGACGUGCAUGAAUGGUUCAAUGAGGUAGUCACUGUCCCUAGCCAGCACCUUCUGAAUCCACUGACCGGUGAAAAUGCCGGUAACGCCUAGUGGGAAGCGAAGACCUUGUGGACCUUUACUGCAACUUGUUGUUGUGGCU